GUCAUCGUGAAGGGCAAUGUGUGACUCCUGUAAAACAGGUCUGCUUUAUGGUCUGUGGCUGAGCAAGCAGGAAAGCAGAUGACAGAGGCAAAAGGAAACAUGAACUCUGGGGACUCCGAGGUCCAGCUUACUACCAGGAUGUGUAGGUUGUAGACGUUGAUGAUAAAAAGGGUCUACCGGAACCUGACAAAUACAGAGGUGGAUGUGCAGGGAUGUGCGAGGAGUCGGGUGAAGCCCUGGCGGAGGUCUUCUGUCUUGUCAGUUCUUCUUGAGAUAGUGGAGGUGGAAGAGCAUUGGUGGAGGAACUCUUCCUGAAUUCCAUCUUAUGCUCUUUGACUGCUGCAUACACCAUUUUGGAAAAUAUGCAGAAGAUUGUCAAUGCAGGAUGACACGAGGGGCUCUAUUAUCAAUCAAGCAUACUACAGUUUGUGCCACAAGAGGAAAGCAAUUACUAAGGUGGAAUUGGGCUGUAAACAGUGUGUAAUCAAAGAUGCUAGAAAGAGUGCAAAUAACUGAGGGAUGAUGAUACAUCACAGCGAAGACAGGAGCUUGGCAGAUUCUGCUCCUCACAUGGCCCAGCAUCCAACCAGUGCCUGAAUCUGUGGUCAAGACUGCUGGAGAAGAGAAGGCUUUGUGGAACCCGAUUCUUUCUUCCCUUUUCAGGCCUCCUAAGGAUUCCCGCCUGCUGAUGUGGACUGAGGUCAGUUUGGAAGAACGCAAAGCGGUGGCUGUUGGACUCUCGGAAACAACUCAUGUGACAAUGAUUUAAAAUGUUCAAUCAACUCGCUGCUAAUUCCACUAAUGAUUAAUAACAAUUCAUCUAUACUUAAGUUCUGCUUGUGGCUAGUACUG
rnacentral:sRNA from 1 species